rnacentral:rRNA from 1 species
UACGAAGGGUGCAAGCGUUACUCGGAAUUACUGGGCGUAAAGCGUGCGUAGGUGGUUCGUUAAGUCUGUCGUGAAAGCCCCGGGCUCAACCUGGGAAUGGCGAUGGAUACUGGCGGGCUAGAGUGCGGUAGAGGAGAGUGGAAUUCCCGGUGUAGCAGUGAAAUUCGCAGAUAUCGGGAAGAACACCCGUGGCGAAGGCGGCUCUCUGGGACGGUACUGACGCUGAGACGCGAAAGCGUGGGGAGCGAACAGG